GAGGAGGAAAUGAGGGUGGCGAUGAUGAGGGUGAAAAAGAUGAGGAAGACGGAGACAAGGAUGGAGAUAUGGAUGAUGAUGAAUCAGAGGAGGACUCAGAUGAAGAGGAAGAAGAAGAGGAACAAGCAGACGUAGUGGUAAAAAGACCUAGAAAGACGCCUAAAAAGCCUUGUGCUAGAUAUUCAUACAUUCCUCAUAAGGAUUUGUGUUUUCCUCCAAAGAAUCCAACAUAUGGUACUCCAAGAGAUGGCGGGCAGAUAUUAAUGGGCUACAAAAACUCAUGGGCUGCCAAGAUCUUUGCGACAAAGGCUUACAAAUCCGACCAUUGAUUUCGUCAUUCUGCGGCUCGGAUCGAUCGGUAAUAAGUUCUAUAUAGACGUCCGUCCGAUCCCGUUUUUAACAUAUGAUUUUGGAUGGUGUGGAUUAUGCCGCGGCCCAAGCUAACUUGACCGCUAAUUUAUAUAGAUCUCCAUCCGUCCGUCCGUUUUAAUAAAUAUAGUUUUGAACGGCAUAGAUUAUGCAACGACUCGACCAAGAUUACCCUAACCUGACCACUUACCUAAACACGACUAAACUUUACGCAGAGUCUACCUUUCCUCCUGUAACUGGAUUUCCUAAUCUUCCCAAUUCCUAAGAUGGUUGUUGCACGAGGCAUAAAAACAACUUGAAGCACAAGUUUGUUUUUCAUAUAACAGUAAUAACAGAGAGUCCGUGGGAAGUUGUACACACAAGAAUUUGCUUCCCCUAUACGUUUGUUUUUCUCCAGCUAAUGAAAAUCCUAGAUUUUCUAAUAAAGAAUAGCUGUUGUUCAGCCUAUUUAAAAAAAAUAAAAUUCGAAAAAGGUGAUAAAAUUGAACAAUGUUGUUCAGCCUAAAAUCAGUCUAUUUAUUAUGAUAAGAAAAGUGAAGAAGAACUACAGGAUGAGGAGCAAAAGAAGAAGCGACACUUGGAUACAGGGUCCGGUUGACAAAUAUUUCAUCAAGGAAGGUACAUGUUCUAAAGUUUUCGAGAAAAAAAUAGAUUCUUGCGCCAACUUAAUUUGUCUGGUAAUGCACUGGCAUAUUUUCCGUGUGGGAUUUCUUUUCUUGAUUUUCUUGCCCUUUUUCGGAGAUUAUUAUAUGAAUAUAUACGUUACAUAUCCUUAAUUUACCAAACUGAUUAUUGUUAAACCAGGUAGUCACGAGAAAAUAAAGGUCAAUAAGAUUUUGAAAUUCGAGUUUCCAAAAAAUAAAUAAAUAUAUUAUCUUAAUAAAAUCAAAUAUUAAUCUGAAGACUCUAUGUAUUUUAUCUAAUCACCGUCAAUUUUAAUGCAGAUAUUAUAUUUUCCUUUAAAUUUUCUAAUUCACGGAGGCCCCAGCCCCAUCCGGCUACUAUGAGCCGUUUAAUUAAACAUGUUAUUGUGAUCCGACUAACUAACACGCUAUAAUAUGACACGAGCAACUAAAUAUCGGGACCAUUCUGAUAUGAUCGGAUUAGCUAAAUAUGCUCCCAAUUAUUAUAGACAGACUAAAAUAUGAAAAGAUACUGACCGGCCGACCAAACAAUAAAUAAAUUUCUAAAAAGGUUGAGCCCCGGCCGUAGGCCGGGGUGAUACCUAGUAUUAGUAUAUAAGAUAUGAUGUUGUUUUUUUAGGAUCAUAAAAAUGAUGUUCGUGUUUUGAAACGUCAAAAGAACAAGGUAUGGAAUAUAGAAAAUGAGCGUGAUGAGGUCCGCUUCGCGGUAUUUGAUUGUGUACUCUGGAACGGGAUACGACAUGCGCACUAAAAAUUUGAUGUUGUCACUGUUACUGCAUUUGCCGAGAGGGCUUAUCCGGAAACGGAUACCUUUCAUCUACCUUUUGGUGAGAUGGCAAUAACUCCGGAUGAUUGUUUUAGAAUCACAGCCCUACCAAUUAUGGGAACAAGUGUUCGAGAUGACUACGAUCCCUCGAUGUGUUAUGAACUUCUUGAAAACUAGUCGAAAUGUGUCUAGGAUGGAGCGAUAAAAAGGAACAAUGUGAGUUUGGGCGAGCUAACAAAGAGCCUAAGGAAGGUCAUGAGUAUAAUGAAUUUGAGGAAGACCGCAUUUACAAGAAGAAGUUGAAAAAGAUCAAGCUCAAAACCUUGUUUGAUGAGUUUUCAGGGACGAAAGAUUUGGUUGCUCAAGGAAAAUUGGUGAUGACAGAGGAGAAGACUAAGCACCAUGUGACUGCUUAUUUGUUAUAUCAACUUGGAACCAUCUUCUUCCCUGACACUUCAGGCCACGUGGUAAAUGCUCAUUACCUCGAGCUAUUGGACCCCUUGAAUGAGGUGAACAAGUACUCUUGGGGCAUUGCGGGUCUUUCAUUCGUUCAAGCGGAACUCAGAAAAGCUUCGAGGCGUAAGAGUCUAUAUUUUGGAGGCUUAUACACCCUUGUUCAGGUUUGGGUGUACAACCACUUCCCUAAACUGCGAUUGUCUCAUGCUCACACUCCUUGGCCUUAUGGGAAGCCUACAGCUGGUAAAUAUGAAUUUUAGAACUCACAGGAAAAGAAUAAGGAAAAAAAUGUGUUGGAGUUGAGGGAGACAUUGGAUAAGUUAACAGUGGAAGAUGUGGUUUUCCAUCCUUACAACAUUGCAUCAGAUGAAGAUGAGGAGGAUGUAGUUAUUAAUUUCUCACCUGUUACGGGUUAUAAUGGACCGUUGUUUCAUCCCGGGGGUUGUACAAUGUAUAAUCCUCGAAGAGUACUUAGACAACUUUCUUGUGUCCAAAGUGUCCCACAAGUGGAAAACUUCAACUUCAAGGUAAAGAAGGUCGGAACGAAGAACAUCGAGAAGAAUUCCAUCCCCAAAUACGAUCCUGCUCCAUCAGUGGACCACUGGAAGAACUUUGGGAAUUAUCUUGUUCCAGUCGAAGAGUUACAAGAUUCGUUUGAUGAGCAAAAUGCCGCUGAUGAUGGAUAUAUGGAAUGGUAUGAACAUUUUUCUCAUCCUCGUGUAAUAAACAGUGUCCAACAAGCCCGUGUUGAUAAAGCAAAAGCGACGACAAUGGAGAAAGAGGCUCAGAAGAUUACGAAGCCUACCCCUAUGUGUGGUGAUAAGUCCUUGAUCUUGUGGAAUUCGGAGAUAAGAUAUUUACUCUAGUUUUUGUUUUUCAAAAUGUUAUAAAGUAUUGAAAAAUAAUAGUGACUUAUGUUUUUGAUGAGAAAAGGUGAAGGCAAGUGCUAAAUUGUUGAAGAAAUUGAUAGCAAAAAUCCGGAGUGGAGAGCCGAUGGACACUCGAGAACAAACAGACCUCUACAACCAAAUAACUAAUGUUUUUAAUCCCGACCUUGUCGAUACAAGUCAGGUUGAUCCAAGCCAGACCAUGCCGUUGAAAAGGAGUCGCCAACAAGGGGAAGGUUCAAGUCGGAUGGUUCAACAACAAAGCAGUGGAGAUGGCACUCCUAGUGACGAAGGACAACCUAAAGCUCCUAAACGCAAGAAUAGAAAAGUUUCUCGUAGUGGUCGUGGUAAAUGAGUGAUUGCAACAAUUAGUACUUUGGUUUCUUAUGUUUAGAAAACUUAUUGUG